CAAAGAUUAAAUUUAAACAAUACUACACUUAAUUAAAAUUUCUGUUAUCAUUUUAUCAUAUUUUAUUUAUCUUGUUUUCAUGGGUUACAUACUAUGCUGUCAGGUCACUGCCUGAUCUGGGCCACAUGAUCACCGGACUGAUCUGGGCCACACCUCCCACCAACAAUCGGCCCUCAUAUUGUUUGCCGUGAUCCACGCCGUGCCAUCAUUGCCACACACGGCCCAGCUCUGGCUGAAUGGGUACAUGUAUGGAGUCAAUUUAAUGCCGCAUAUCACUCUAAAAACGUUGGGUUAUUUACUGUACCCAAUAUCUGGGUUAUGCAUGUUGGGUCACUUUGUUGGGUUAUUCCUGUGUUUAUUGGGUUAUUUCAACAACAACGCAACCAGUUGGGUUAAAAUUUAAAUUCCAACGGUCGAUUGGUGCAGCUGCGACAGAUGAUACAGUGGUAAAUUAAUAUGUGUGCGUAAUGUUUUUCGUUACAAGGUGUCUUCAUGCCCUGACACAAUAAUAUUUCUGUUUUUCCUACGAGUUUGUUUACAUCUCCCCUGUUGACUGAAACUUUAAUCCGUUUUUUCUGCACUCUUGUCUUGACUAACGACACCAGCGCUUGUAGCAGAUCGAUUUCAAACGUAUAAAAAAUGGUUUCCUUACUUUUUCUGUUAGUCUCGACAAUUUUGGGGGAUUUUUUUUUUUUACAGACAUUUCAGAUAUUAGGCAGAAGCGCUCACCUUGAAGACCAGCGGAGCCUCUUUCGUGGUGUCGUGUCCUCUGAGUGAAGAGGGCGCUGCGAGCUACACUGAUUACACGCGCCGCUUCUUCAGCCACGAAGAACUGAACAUGGAAGAGAGUGGGGCAUUGUUAUCAUCAAUUAUCAAAAGAUACCGUUAUCGGUUUCAAGUUGGUCUUGGAGAUUGCAUUAAAGUUGCAGUAAAACCCUGCCAGAUAUCCUCCUUCAUUGCCAUACAAAGUAGGUUGGAACAAAUUUCAUUCUGUAUUUGGAGGAGGAGGAGCAACCAAGGCAAUUCCCUCAUAAUCAAGCCUUCAUUAUUGUGGGAGAAAUGGCACUGAAGCAAGGCCGUCUUUUUUACAAGCAGUUGAUACAUGCUUUAAAUUAUUUUACAUUUUGAACAUUGAGUAUCCCAAACCUGUUGCAGCUGUAAUUGCAUUGUCUGUACUAGCUUUGUUCUGUUUGUUUGUUUGUGAAUUUAUAUUUAUCUUGUAAACUGAAACAAUUGCAUAUAACCUAAUGUGAUAAGGAAAUAAUUAAUAACACAAUUUCAACCAGUCAU